UACAUCUCGUGUGGGCUAGAACCAGCCAAUAGCUUGACUCCGUUCACCGCUGCUUCCUUCAUCCGAUAUUGCUAGUCCAACGGAAAGCUUUGCUUAGCUUACUGGACUUAAGAGCUUUCUGACUUGUCUCGAAAAGGCCGUCUCACUGUGUACGGAAGGCUCAGUUUACUCGCGGUCCAUUCCACCACGAAAGGGAGAAAGGUACUGCUAUCAUGGGGAACACCUAUCUUUGAAAUCCUAUCUUUCAGCUAACGCUAGUCUAGUCUCCAUUGGAAUAAAUAGGGCCAGCCUGGCUCAACCAGAUGAAUAGUUUAUCUAUCAGCAGGGUCGGGGCAUAGCGUAGAAGUUCGGUCAGUCUCCGUUGGCACGGUACACUUUGUUCACUUUGUUUUUAAUACGUUACUUUUCGGCUUAAUAAUAACAAGCAUUAUUCCUGGGCACCGGCAACCCUACUACUGACCAGGGAAGAGAUCAUGAAUAGGGCGUGGUGCAAAUCUAGUAAAUGGUGCCGUCUCGUAUCAGUGAACGUUGUUUGCUUGAUGGAUUGACGGAAGUCCGCUAUUGAUUCGGGAACCACAAGUCGAAUAGGAAUACGUAGAUCAAUCUCUGAAAGCUGCCAGUCCAGAGUAGCUUAUUGGAAAUGUCCUCUGGAUUGAGUCCCUCGAUAUAGCAAUAUUAUUUGCCGAGUCAAGUAUAGUUCAAGUACUACUGCCAACAGGCGCAGGCUAUUAGUCUGAUUCCCUAGUAGCAAAAGUGGAUUCCCUCAUUCAGAAGUAGAUUACAUACAGACAGACAGGCCCGCAUUGCUUCGAUCCAGAGGUUCUUCUGCGAAUCCCUACCAUUACUGGACAAGAGUGGUGGACUCCCAUCCCUGAAACCAGCAGACGGAUCCAAUACACAUAAGACUUUUUUUCUCGGGAAAUUCCGAAUGUCAUGCCCCACAAGUUAGUUGCCCAAGCGCUCCCUAGGAGGGCAGUCUACCACAAGAUAGAGUUUGGGCCUGGAGCCAAAGCCCCAACCCCUCCAUUUUUUGUUGAGCUCAGGAAAGAAUUUAAGGAAGUCACAUCGGCCCUCAUCAAGAGGAAUCUGAUCUCGCUUUGAUUCAUCCGUUGCGCGGCGGGACCCACCACUCUCUGUAAUUUCCCAGUUCCCCAUCGUAUCAUAUCAGGUUUAGGGGCUACCUGGGAUAGAUGAGUUUAUUUGUGGUGCUACUACUUUACUUUUUCUGAGUGAAUAACGUGAGUGAGUAAGCAAGAAGUGUUAGCCUUCCCCAUUGCAAAGAAUUCCUCGCAACAAGACGGAUUUCUUCUUUCCAGAGCAGUAGUGGAAGUGUUCGUAUUUCUUUCAAAGUGCCAGAAUCCAAGUGGCAAGGAAAAGCUUUAUUUGCAUAAUGAAUCGUGAUAUAAAGAGGAUUGGAAGUGCCGUGGUUCAGGUUGCGGAGCGGUGAUACGACUUUUCCAUAUCAAAGAUUCGACUCGAAAACCUUAUGAACCUGUUUUCCUUACUUCAACUAGGUUUCUUCUUCCUUUUAUCCAUAGGAGGCAAGGAUAGCAAGGGUAACAAAACAGAUUAAGCAAUCAAACGGAUGUGCGAAGGAAAGUAGGACUUUUGACUAUGGCUGGCAUAAAAAGUUCACUUUGAUCGUACACUCUACUAGGCAAAACUGGUGUGAGUGGUUUUUACUAUGGGGGGCAUAAACAGUUGAAUAUGGAGAGUCGGCUGAGUUUAGGACAAAAAGACAAGGCGUAGUCUUUUGAGUCUGAUCAGUCUAGUGUUGCCUAUGUUGGGUAGGAAAUAAAAGAAUCAAAGCCCUCGACGUUAGCAGUUCUUAGCGGGACUCGACGUUCCUAACAGCUGUUGAGCUCUCGAAGUAUGAGAUCCUGAAUGCAUCCUCUUUCUUUCCACUUCAUCUUGGGAAUCUGGAAUGGUUGUUUAUGGCUGGGUGUGACAGAUCAGACUGAGUUUAGAAUCAGACUUUCUAUCUAUCUAUCUAGCUGUAUUGCCACUCCAACGGUUCUUUUUCUUUGAUUAUGCCCCGUAUCUCUCUGAGCCUAUUUGAUCUAUUUGCUAUAUCUAAGUUCGAGUGUGAAGUUCGCUCCGGUUGAAGUGUAGGGCUUCCUAAUUCCUGCUUCGUCCUCCUAUGAAUGCACUAGUAUAGAAGGUUGGCCCGUCACCGUAUACCAUCGUAAGAUGAACUGGAAAUUCGUAGUUUCAACCAGUUACACAAAAUAGGCAAGUUGAGGUUUGUUCAGCGUGUGUUGCCUCCAACUAUAACGAGGCCCUUUGACUUGAGGUACGAUCUUACCUCUUAACGCGCUUUCCUGCUAGAAGAAGUGAGGGUGAUGUCCAAUGACCUGUUGAAGAAGCUUGCUGUGUAGAUAGGUUUCGUGAACCUAAUGUAGAACCUGUAAACGAAAGACUAGAGUCCCGGAACCGCUGCCAUUCAAAAAGCUAUCAAUCUGAUUCGAAAUACCAAGGUUCGAAGACCUCUGGCUUUGAUUGUGUGCCCUUUCUUGUUCCUAAGGAUUUCUAACCAGACCUUACCUUAGGCGGACGUAUACUCAAUUAUCAAUAAGACUAAAUCGUGAUCGACCCGCCAUCAUCUCUUGCCUGAACUGACUUACCAGUCACAGGGCCGAGAACACAUGAUCGAGGGAAAUUUCUUUCAUCACUACGAAAACUGGUUUUGCUGAUUGACAAAACGGAUCUCUUCCCUGUGAGCCGCCUUUAGGAAAACUGCACCAAAGAUGUGUCUUUGUUCGGUUCAGAUCAACAAAGCAUUUGCUAAUACCAGUCUGAAGGCAACGCUAUGCAGCUCCAUUUCCUCUUAAAGUGAAUGGCCUUCCUAUUAUAUCGAAUAUUUGGAGUUGCGGAGUUUUUCAUAGAAUGGGGUGUAGGCAAAUACCAACGUCGGUGAUUAUAGGGAAAUAGAUGCUUUCUUACUUAUGUUCUAUACUAGCACAUCAGCACCUACCUUUUCUCAUUGCUUCGUGAGGGUAGACAAUUGCCUGACUCGUACGUAACUGGGCCUGUUGUUUUCUAGUGCUUGAUAGUCUGUAGUGUAGUCUAUGAAAAGAAAGAAGUCACUUGUUCACAAGCCAAGAGUUCCAUUGACUCCUCUCUUAUCUACGUUCAUGCUUACUUAACCAGUAGUGAAUGGAAUAAAGUAAGAAGUCUUUCCACACUCGUAACCUGUAAUUAAUGGGAGUCGGUACAGAUUGGGUGUAGUGAAGAAUGGAACCCCCUACUCUGACUUGGUCUAGUGAAUGUCAGUCCGUACUCAUACUCGGUCUAGUGAAUGAUAGGUAGGUAACAGUGAAGUAGUCGGCGCACCGAGAAGCACACGAUCUAAUCUACUCUUAUUGUCAGUCUCUCCAGAAAGAAGAAGCACACCCUUGCCUUUAUUCUCUUCUAUGUUCUUGUCUCUAGUGUGGAGUUUUUCCUGUCAUAUCUCUGAACUGGACUACCAAAACAUCUACACUGCAUCAAGCCACGUUGUAAGAACCUCGACUAAGACUAAGAAAGGAAACAUCCUAUAAAGCUCUUGCUGGGUGAUUGUUCAGGCUUCUUCCGGUGGAUUGGUAUUGGUAGAGUUUGUUUGCCGUAUCUACACAGGUAGAGAACCUUGUUUCAUAGGUUGGGCCUAUAAAUAGAUAAGCGCGAGAGUACUUUACCGGUACCGGUUUAAAGGCAUUAUUCACUCAAUUCUGCAUUAUUUCUUCUGGCAGCAGGUUAUCUUUCUGCAACGCCCAAACAAAGGUGGAACACGUACCCAGAGAUCCGAAAAGCUACUUCUCAAGAGUCCACUAAACCACUUGUCCCAGGCGCGGGCUAAAUCACUCUGGAACUGGAAUCGCCCGGCGCGAAUCAAGUAGUCGUUAUGUUUGGGAUUCAAGGCAAGCUGGAAUCAGAAUCUGCAGGAAGACAGGGAGGAUCUGGAGCCCAUGUAGGUACGGCCUAAGCUGAGCUGCUAGCGGCAUCAACUCUUUUCCCCGCAAAUAAGAAAAGUAAACAUUCCCUCCCUAGCCUACCCGCCCUUUAUUUAAGUGGAAACAACCACUAUAGGCUACUUAGACUAAAAUAAAAAAUAGGGGCCCUUCUCUAAGUCUAAGAAGGAAGCAGCAUUACUUCAUUUUUUUUACCAAGGAAUGGACUCACUUUCCACUCCUUGAGCCUGCCAUUGAAAUGAAAACAGACUUUAGGGACUCGUUUUCGAAACGAUCCGGUACCAAAUUCCAUGCUAAAAGCGGUAAUCAGAUGCCGUUACCUCUUUCUCUCUUUCUUUCUACUGGCCAUAGUCAUCUCGAUUCUCACUCCAUACCAUACGACAAUAUCUAUUUGACACAAGACAUGACAUGAUCUGGCGGAUCAGAACAGAAAUGGGUUUAGCCUUCUCCCACUCCGGAUUUGCGUAUUCCCUCGGGAAAAUGGGGUAGGCUACUUUUGAGUGAGAUGCGGUUUUCUCAAAAGCAAUCCAUCGUUUCGAGGGUGCCGGGCUAUGGUUCAGUUCGAGUCUAGUUUCCUGAAAAUAUUCCGUGGUUUUGGCCCAAGGAAAGGAGUAGUGACGGAGUUCAUUCAUUAGCAAGGAUCGGACCCAUUCCAGCUUAGAACUUACCACUAGACUCUUGGAAUAGGAAAUUGGCUUUCCCGAGAAGGGGACUAGCACUUGAUUUCGUUGCCUAAUAGAAUCCCAUUCACUCUUGACUCUUGGAAUGAGUCCGGUGGAAAGUAAAGUAGGAAGGAGGGGCGAAAUUCAGUUGUGUUGGACUAGAUUCGAGAAAUGCAUAAUCAAAGCAUUUUCCGUUCUUCAGCCAGCCAUGCCUGGAAUCCAUCGUUGUGCCAAGAAAUAGUGCAACUUUUUCCACUAGGUGAGAUGCACUUUUGGCCCAUAGCGAGAUAGGAUAGAAGUUUUCAGAUCAGCUCCCAAUGAGAUUAGUAGAAUCUAAUGAGGAGAAUCAAAAGAGAGGUUGCCAUAGCAGUCAGUGGUUUUGCCUGGGACAGACGUGGCGCACUUGAUUGACCUUGCUUCCGGACUAGCUUCUCUUUUCAUACCUGGCACGGCAGAUUGAGUGAGUGAGUCCACUGUUUACGUUACAACUAGCAGUAGCGUGUCAAUUCUAGUCAGAAAAAAAGCUUUCCAUUGAUUCAUGAUAGUGCCGUGCCGUGCCGUACUCAACUGGUAUCAAAAGUGAGAAAUAGGCGAUAUUCUCCUAAAGAAAGGACGGUUGGAUUUUAUUUAGACAGAUUAUAAGAAACCUUUUUGGAUCCUUAGCGAAACAUCCCUUAUUAUUAAAUGCAUAUGGGCUUGACUUGAUGGUUUUUGAUGAAGUCGGUUCCCACUUUUCCAGUCAGGUUGGGAGACUUUUUUAGGGAAUUGACUCGUGUUUGACUUGAUCUGUCCACUUUGCAUUACUCUCUUUUUUCGAGCAUUACUUUCUUUGUUCAACUCAUAAGUGGAGUGUGUACGACUCCGAGAACAGUGAUCGAAUAACCAACCUCUUUCCUUGCGUGUUCAUUUUCUUUCCUUGCUCUACUUUUUGGCGAGAAAAGAAGAGCGAAGUAAAACAAUGAGUACCUGCCCUAUAGGCAGCAAAAGCCCUCAAUCUUUUUUUCUUUUUUCUAUUUGACCACCAUUUUUUUCUUAUUUCAACGCUUCUUCAUAAAAACGACUUUCAUCAGUCCGACAUUAGAAGGAAAAGAACGAUGAAAGAUUCCAACUUACUUCACUCAAAGAGUAGAAGCUUCAUCCUCCUAGCGAGCCGAGCCAGCCGAACUCAACCUUUUCUUAUCUAGAACUGCCAACAGUGGAAAGCAUACCACAUUAUCUCCAUUCCAUACUGAGUCCACAGCCCAGGGCUUUCUUUAAUAGCGGCUAUCCCCCGGAGAAUCCUUGCAUUUUGUUGAAAGGAAGCCUCCUCGGCAUGAUUUGCACGACCGAGGUCUUACUCUUUCGUUAUGCUUUAACAUUUCUAUUUUAUAUGUUAUUGGAUAUUUCAGUUAAUUACUUUCAUUCCCGAGGCUGGAUUUCCUUACUCAAUGGAGAGCGAAGCUCCCCUCAAUUCUGGCCAGGAUUCAAAGACCUAUUCGGGCCUAGCCCUCCUUUUCUUUCUUUGUGAGGUGUCGACAGAACUCACUUCAGAGAUAGAGUGGCGGGUACUUCUGGGUCGUAUUCUCGCUCAGGGAAAGCUACACUAUAGGAAGUCAGGAAGUCAAACAACGGAAGCAGGUCUGGCGUAUCGGAUCAAUCUGCGACUGGCCUUUUAUUCAUAACAUUAGUAGUUACUCAUUGGGUGCCAUCAGAUGAACGAACUAGUUUUCCACAGAAGAGGAUUUGAGGUAGGGCUGCUAGAGAAACUGACAAGGAAAUCACAAGAAAUAGAGAUGCUUCACGCCCAGCCAAUCUUGAAAGCUUGUACAGAGAUCCAGAAUUGCAUCUUCAGAAGAAUAAUAAGCUAAGCGUCGCGUCGAAUCUGGACUGGAAAGUCUCUAGAAGGAUUUGCACUCCUACACUGCCUUAUCAACGGAUUCCUGAGAGAAGGGGCCGGGCUAUUCAUUCCUUCGAGGUGCCGCAGUAAAGGUAGACUAGCUUAUUGGGCAAAAAGGUGCCGUACUUCUCAAUUGUGAGACUAGAGCUUGAUCCUCUCUUACGAGAUUUCUAGUUCGAGAUUUCGAGUUUCCUGAAAAGAAAGCGAAGAAAGAGUUCUGUAUUGAAGAUGUCAACUGCCAACUGCGUGCUUUCCCCAAUUCUUCUCUUACGAAAUGGAUCGUUGAUUCCUACCACUGAUGGAUUUAUGCCGACCUUACCUUACCUUAAAAGGAGAAGGAACGGGGCUUCCAGAGUCUGAAAUGCAACUUCCAAUUGACAUAGAAUAGAAUGAUCCAACGAACCCAUACUCGUACUCGGGAAGGCCAGCUGGAAAUGCAGUGCAGUAAAGUAAGUAAUUCAGUAAGUAAUGCACUCAGUGCCAGUGCCGGUUAAGGGUCUAUUGCCAGUGCUAGCGGAAAGAACCGGGCUAUGCGCAGUGGAAUAGAAAAACGAAUAUCAGGAUUUCAUAGAAACUAAUGGAAAAGAUGGAAAUAAUACCGAACUCUUCUAUUGAUUUAUGGCUCAGGGCAGGUGUAACUUAGUGUGAUAGUCUAGUUUGUUUCAUUUAGGAGUGCGUAUAAGUGAGCUUGGUACCAUUCCAUCUUCUUAGCUGUAGGCUUAUUGCUAAGGAUCGAGUGUGGACAGAAAGGUUUGAUGAUCUAGGUCAUUAGUCUCCGGUUUCUCUUUAUGUGUUUGUUCGUCUAUUAUAGUAUAUACGACAGAUUCAUAGCUUCUCAGAUCUUUAUGCGGGCGCAUACAUCUCGAAUCCCUCACCUAAGAAGGAAAGCGAUAGCCAUCCAUUUCUUAUCCUUCGGCCAGGCCGGAUCUAGAUUAGUGACCUUGCUUCUUGACUUUCCCCUGCUUGUUCAAAUCAUGAUAUCCUUGCCCUGUAGGCAUCCCUCAUACGAUCCGAUCUACUUUGAUUGUUUCAUAGCAUAGGUUUGUUUACAAGAAGUGGUAGCUUUCUGUGUUCCUAGCUUGAUGGCUUUUCUUACAUUCCUAUUUCCACAUUCCUAUAUUUCCUUUAUUUUCAGGUCUGGCACUGGGCAUAAGUUUUUGGUCGGCGGGAAGAUACACCCAGCACAUAUGUUUUAGGUCAGAGUCCCAUCCUACAUUGACUAUUUCCACACUUUAUAGAAAGCAUUUGGUACAUUGGGCAACCCGUUUGAUCACACAAGAGAUGAAAUGGAAUUAUUCUUGGCAUAUUUCCUAUCAUUUCACUACCGAGAUCUGAUCAAUAGGAGGGCUCACCCGGGUUCUAGUUCAAUCACUCCAAUCCAUCUUUUCUUUUCUCGGGCCAAGAUGCAAUAGUUUACCGGUCUAGUUCGUUUUCCCGAGAACCUACCUGCCCUAAGCGAAGAAUGCCUAUUCUGGACCAAUUUCUAAGGGAAGAAGAGAAGGUUUGGCACCUGCUUCGGAGAAAUGGUUUCUAAGUACUGGGAUCCAACCAGUUUGCUUUUUCUGACAGCACCUGGGAAAGAAGUAUUCAUUGAACAAGAACAAGGAUCUACUAGUCCAACUUUCAUUCCAAUCUCUAUUCCUAUCAUCUCGCUUUUUCGGACAAGUUUUCUUCUUAACACAGGAGAACAGGAGAUGCAAUGUCGUUAGGGCCUUCUCGGUCUCCCCAACUAGGGGAAACCUCAAAGCAAACAUCCUUCUUCGGACAAGAACUGGCCCAUCUGCAUCGAACUAUUCGAAAUCUUGAAUCCCAUUUCCCUAAUCAAAAGGGAGGGAAGGCACUUAUAGCAAAGCAGGUACGAGAUAUCGUUUCUACCAAAACCAUGCUAUCUACCAGCACCAUUCUUGGCAAUUGAGAGAAGAAGCAGUCUACCGGAGCGAGAGAACGAACCUAGCGUUUUGAGCCCUUGGAAAACAUCAUUGAUAUAUGCUAACCCGGAGAUUUCUUGGUUCAUCAUGCUAUUGCAGAAGGUUUGCAUGCAACUACAUUGAUUUUAGUAAAGGGUGCUUUAGAUGCACUUUUUUAAAAUCGAUUAGCUUUCCGGAAAUUUGACGUAGAUUCAGAAGUGGAACAGGACUAGUUAGUGCUCAGGUUUGCCCGUCAACUAAAAGCAAGCAAGCUGUUUGGUAGAUCGGCGUAUUUCAAGGAUCGGAUCGGCGUAUUGAAACAGAGAUCUCUGGUGCUGGUUAGAUCCCAAGCGUGCCAUCGGAUUCUUUAGUUUAGCCACUAGGCGAGAGGGACUUUUCGAAUCAACCAUCGACUCUCCUGAUCUCCUGAGGGAAAAUAGGGUUGCCUAAUUAGUUGUGGCCCUAAGGGAAAUCCACUUUUUCUUCUUGGGUAUCGAGGGCAAAUCCGGUUGUUGAGUGAACUCGUGAAUCAAACAAAACCCUUCUUCUCGAACUGCUAGUGACCUACCGGACUUAGAACCUGGCCUGGCUUUCGAGAGGAGAGUGAAGUGGAAGCAUGAGUGCUUACACGAACGGAAGGAAGUAGAAGUAAGCAAGCCAUAUUUCGACCCGCUUCAUUGAACCUUAGAAUGGCAAGUGCUCUUCCUGAUGAAGCCCGGAAAAACGAUCUGUAGCGACAAGCAAGAAAACAAACCUCUUUUCUGAUGAAAGUGAUUAUGGCUGCUAUGUCUCCUACCUUGCUAUCGAGAAUGGCAUUUCCAUUCCGGAAGAAUGAGAGAGAGGGAGUCUUCAACCAACUUCCUUGUUUUCUUAUCCGGGCUUAAACCAGAAACGAAGGAUCCUUACCUGCCACUACCAUAACUUUACUUAACUUAACUGCUCUUGUCAGCUAAAAUAUAUAGGACUCUUCUAAAGCAAGGAACACUUCACCAUCACCUGCAUCCCAUCAAGCAAGGCCUAAACGAACGCACCAGUACAACUACAUUAACUGCUCUUGUACAAAAGGCAGAAAGAAACCUCUCUACUCAAGCACUAGGCUAUACACUGUAAAACUAGACACACUCUUAUCCUUUCAGGCAGUGAUACCACUUCUCUGCAAGGCCAAAAGGAAGGUAUGAAGCAGGGUUGUUAUUUAGGAGUAGGAGGAUGAAGAAGAAGUUGUUUUUGUUAGAUUUAGGAAAUAGGAAGAAAGCAGAUGCUGGAUCCGAAGCAGGUUGCUAUUGGAGCUAGAGGAAGAAGAAGAAGAAGAAAGCAGGAAGAAGAACAAUAAAGUUGUUAUUUGUUUUAUUUAGGAAGCUGGUUUUAUUAAGGAAGUAGUAGCAACCACUCCUCUUUUCAUUAGGUUAUACCAAUCACCCAUACCAGAUACGAAGGAAGCUGUACCUGUACCAAUUCCCUGCAAGGCAUCUUCAAAACCUAGCAACAAAAACCAAUACCAGCCCCGCACCUUCACCAAAACCCAUUCUUCUCAAGGAAGGUUCCUGUACCUUUCCAUUACUAGUAAAAAGAUAGCUAUAAUGAUAGCACUUCCCUUCAAGGAACCAACCAUUAACAAUACCUGUACCAAUACUUAUCAAGCUUGUAAAGCUAGGAUAAAUGAUGCCACGCUUCUUCCCUUCCCUGAACGAUCCAUUACAGGCUACCACUACUGGCUACCUUUACUUUAAAGCACUGUACUAGACUAGAGUAGACUUCCAAAACAGUUCCUACUGAUCCGUAUACCAAUACCUUACUUUUAAGAAACGAAAGUGCAACGGCUUUCGAGUAAUAAAGAACCUACUUUGCCAGCCUUGAGAAGGGAAUGACCCUAGAGCCCAAGCAAACCAUCUACGCAAGGCCGAAAACCCGCCAAUCAAACCGCUAAAGCAAAUGGGCAAGAAGGUUGAGCUGAUGUAAAUAGUAAAGGUCGGAAGCUCUAGCUUAUGAAGACUCAUGUUUUGUCUUGCCUGUGUCAGCUUCCAUCUCCCGAUGUUGCUACUCGUAUCCAUUCCUCCGUCUAUAAACGACGUAAAAAAGAAGUACCAUUCUUUCUCAAUACUAGAUUCCCUUAUCCAGUGCAAGAUGAAGGGAUUUAGUGCUCGGAGGGCAGAACCUGUCUGUCAAUUGGGCCCGAUCUAGCUAAUAAGAAGCAUCAAUAGAAUGGAGUGGAGAACGCAUAGACUCACAUCCCCAGCCUUACAGUAGACAAGGUUGUCGGAUCCACGGCUCUGCUAUUGGAAGCACUACAACGGAUAUCAUACUUCAUGGGCGAGGGGAGGAUGAGUAUGACAGGCCGAUACCAACUAGAAUUCAAAUCUGUAUGCCAAGAGUUUGAUCAACUUAUUCAGGUGGCCAGAGAGGAUUCUUCGAACAAUUGCUAUUUCAUUCCAUUGGCUAGGAAUCGUAGGUAUUGGCGUACGUAUAUUCGCUCGUGUCUCGUAGGAAAGUCUAUCGAUGAAGGGAAGCACCCUCGCCCAAGGAAAAGGAUGCACUUUCGAAAGCAGGCUCGAACAGGUGAGUUGGUUGAGCAGAGAGGCAAGUCAGUAAGUCCAACCUUCAUUGUUGAAGGAACUGCGGGUUAAAGGAAGAACAGUAGGGAGUGAAGGGCCAGUGGUUUUCUGUGGGUUGGUUUCGAGGAAGUGUGAGGCCCAGGCAGGGUAUCGUAUCACGAACGGGGUUCAUCGAAGAAAGGAAACUUUCUUGGCAAAGGCAACUCCAUAAAUGAAUAUUCUAGUUAUAGAGCUUGGGAGGAAUUCCCAGAUAUCACAUAUAGUAAGUAAGGACAACCAGGAAGGAUGGCAAUCCAGUACUUGACAACGAUUUAGAGGGGAAGGGCAUGUUUCUUAUCAAUCGCGAAUUGCAUUUCAAGAUCCAACGCUGAAUCGACCAGGCCCUCGGAGGGAAAUACAUUUAGAACCUUCGGUUAGGGAGCCAGUUAGGAUAAACCCCUCUGAUCGAUGAGAUAUCGAAAGAAAAGCAAAGAAGCGAACCCACUUUCAUUACAUUUUACAGAGAACGGAUUACUAGCGAGGCUGAGUCGAAAGACGAAGGACAUACUUCAAGCAGGGUUUCUAGGGUUAGAGAAAAGAAUAUCCCUCGGAUCAGAUAGAUAGGAUAAAUCCGGCUAAGGAAGAUUGGGCCUACCCAGAUUAGGAAGAAUUGGACAAAGCAGCUGCUCGGGCUAAGGUACAGUGUUCUUCAAUGGGCCCCGCUUCAGUUCUGGUUGCUGAAAGCAGGAAGCUGGAUCGGAACUAGGAAAUCUAGGAUGGGCAUGCACUACCUUACCUUUCAAUCAACUCCUGUAUCACCUAUGGGGAUUGGAGAAUGCCUUGCAAUGAAUUACGGAUCCUUCAUGGCCUCCAGAGGAGCCUCUAAUGACCUCCCCCUUCUCGAAAGAUAUGUAGAAACAGAAAAUUGAAUAGAAGAGGAGAGCAGCAUGUUUCUCCGGUAUCUAUACUAUACUAUAUAUUACAGCAAUUGUUCGCCGUUUCCACUGCGGCCCACUUUAAUGAAGAAGGGCUGUGAACUAAAUUCGAAUUUAGGAAAACAGUUUGCCAACCUUGUCAUACCUGAUAUAGGACUGCUAUUAAUCUAAUUAUAUAAAUAUAUCGACUACUGACGGAAGAAAGCGGAUCGGCUGUAUUGUAUCGAUCUUGACCGAAGGGGAGCGGAGCGGUCUUUAACUUAAUUCGUAAGAGGAAAACGACUGUCUCUACCAUAGGAAAGGAAAUGGGAUUCAAAAUGGCCACACCCACAAAGUAACAUACACGACAAUUCUAUAAUUCUUCGUCCUUUUUCUUGAGAUAACGCGGAAAAGUAUCUUUUUGCUAUGGCGUAUGAUUUGAUACUUGCCAACACGGAAUAGAGACUCGCACUUGGGAACUCUUAGGAGUGGUUCUAAUGUUAGUCAGAUUUACUUCUUCCUAACGCGACGAGCAGAUCAGAAGUAUUUCAAGGAUUGUAAGGGUGAUACCUGGAGAGAGUGUAGCAACCCAACAUAGAUUUUUAGUACUCUAUCUUAGUAUUAAGAGAUGGAAGAGAAGGAGCAAGGGAGCCUAGGAUUAGGUGGUGGAAUUGGAAAGGGGAUAAGCAAGUUAUGUUUAAAGAGAAAAUAAUUAAUGAGACGGAGUGGAAGUUAGGUGAGGAUGCUAACUCAAUGUAGAAUGAGAUGGCUCAUUGUAUCAGUAUCACGUCAGUGGCAAAAGAAGUUUUAGGUGAAUCGAGAGGAAAGGAAACAGACUGACCGAACAAAAAUAAACCUUUCAUCUUUCUAUUAUAUAUAUAAAUAUGAGGAGUCUAUAUAUAUAAAUAUGAUGAGUCAUGAUUGGGUCGACCCAAUCAUGACUAUGGGACCUUUUCUCGAGAAAUGCUUUUUUUCUCGUUUAGUACUUUACUUGUGUAAACUCUCUCUUUUUCUUUUCUUAGAGAAGCGCAGGAUUCCCUUUCUUCCCGGAACACUAAUACAAUCGCACUUUCUUCCUUGUCCCGCUAACCUAUUAUUUUUUUUAAGACAGAAUUUUUAGCUUGAACUAUCAAUACUAGCCUAAUUGAUUGCUGGAAUGGAACUUGAUGUAACUGGCAGGGACCGCUUAUAUAGAACGCUUGUAGGGAACCGGAAACCAACCUGCUCUGCUAGGGAAACGACCCCGGAGACCAGCCUGAUAGACUAUAUCUAUGAACUUCGAAUAAGUCCCUACUUUCCUAUCCUAAUAAGGGUACUGGCUCGCGAAUGGCCCUACAAAAUGACUCUCCUAAAAUCAAUGUCUGGAAGUCCUUUUAAGAUAGGUUAAUAUAAGAUAUGCUAUGCUUAACACUUAGGCUUAGCAAGAGGGACUGGCGCGUGAGACCGAGAUCGCCAUAGAUUGAUUGUGCAGGCAGGUAAUACUCAUUUUAACUAGAAAGAGGAUAUUAUAUUAUACAUGAGUACUGGUUAUAGUCACACUCCCAAACUCCCGAGAAGUCUUUUUUACUUAACUCUAGGACUUGCUAUAAGGAUGGAUUGCUUUUACCCUCUAUCCCGAUCUCGAAUUGCGCUUGGCCAGGUUGGGCACAAACCCAGGUAGCCCCUAAACCCGGGCUCAGUCAAGAGCGGCAUCUGAAUCCCGCUGCAAUCCCUCCAGCGCAGGUGGAGAAAAAGGGGCAAAAUCUCAGUGGCCGACCUAAUAUGUUGGCUCCACUACCCGAUUCCCCUUAAUCCUCCAAGCCAAUCAAUGCCCCAUACCCUUAUCAUGGUCAGUCUCAUCUUUAGUGACUCCCGUGGUAAGGGGUCGAGGGAAGUGGUGUGGUGGGCCCCCUCACUUUUUUUGGAAAGAAGACAGAGAAAUUCUUUUGCAUUUUUGGAAGAAAUCUUCUGAAGAUGUCUCUUCUAGUAAGAAUAGAGAAGAUGUCUCAUCUAGUAAGAAUACACUUAUUUGUGAUCCUCCCUCUGUGACUGCUAUUCCUAUACUAUCAGAACAGAAAGUAGACUAUCCUAAGAUUCGGGUUGCGAUCCUCAAGGAAAUAAGCUUGAAUCUAAAAAAGACUAUUAGAGUAGAGUGGGGAAACUUAUAGCUACCUGCUCUUUCAUUGAAAUGAACGAAUUACUGCCAGUAAUCUGAGAAUUCAUUGGUUCAAGGUGAUGCCGCCUUUUGGCUUGGUUCAAGCCAGCUAUCCAAUUACCGUGAGAGCUCUUGGACUGUUAGACCAAGUAAAGGUAUUUGUCCCUUCCCCUUCUACUUACUUGAGAGUAGGGAGCAAAACUAGAUAAGUCUUAAGCGAAGACUGGGUUUAAUGAUACCCUCCCCAUUCGUAACUGCUUACAGCGGAACUUCUACUAUUCAUUCUAUCCACUAUCUCUCGACAAAUGAAUCUGAAUCAAAGUAGAGUAGAAGGCCAGACCUUAGGCGAAUUUCGGUAUCAAGAGAUGAAAGUGAAAGGCGGAGGUAUCCUUGGACCCCAGAAGCUAGUUCCAGUAUCCUCAUUUCUUUGGACACCAAACAUGCAACAUAUCCUCCAUUGGCAUUAACACAUCAUAGUGAAGCUUCCUUCACUGAACAGAUCUUCAGCAAGAAGUGACUAGUUGUCAUUCCAAACUCCUUACUCUUCCUCGUCAAUUUCAUUGCCUUAAUGGCAGCAGUCUGAUCCCUUUCUUCGAUAAAUGGAGCCGUGUGACAGCGCAGGUAGUCGCUUAGUUUCUUUCCCUGGUUGGCUAAUGCUUAACACUGGUCAGAUACCAUAAGUUAAGUUAAGUUUAAGUUGAAGUUGAAGUUAUGGUAGUGCUCGCUCGGCAAAUCCUAUCGGUUCAGCAGCGUCCUUAUCCUUAGUAGGAGCAGAAGGGAUGUAGCGAGGAGCCGAAACCUACCGUUACGGAACCGUGGAAAAAGCCGAAACCUAGGGUAUUCCCUGAUCUGAACUUCAAUAACAACCAUUGCCUUACGUACGGAAAGGAAGGUGCCGUUUGCCGCAAGUAGAUCUAGCUGAUUGACUCGUUCAUAGGCGAAAAUCAAUGCAUCGAACCCUUUGCCGAUCAAAAGAUUAGGAACCGUCCUCCUUUUACCGGAUACCCUUGCGGCUCUAAAUAUCUCGUACGU
rnacentral:lncRNA from 1 species